rnacentral:piRNA from 1 species
UCCUGCAUGGAAUAGGGAUAGCAACAGUAC